GGGUAUUUUUUGAACCCACAAUUUCUUUAUGGUGCCCCACCCUCUCCUGAAGUUGUUAGAGAAGUCAUGGAUGGAGUUAAAAAAGUGAUAACCAAGUCGGUACCCGAUAUAGAUACUCAAAUUCGAGCUAUUAAUCAAUUGUUGCUAUAUCGAGAUAGGCAGGAGACUUUUGGAACCCCGUUGGCUCAAAGGGCAGUGAAACAAACAAAUCCUGCUGAAUGAUGGAUUCAUUAUGGCUUGUGUGCUCCUGAGCUCCAAAGAAUAGCAAUUAGAGUUCUUAGCCAGACCACAUUAGCUUCGAACUGUGAGCGUAAUUGGAGCACCUUUAGCCUCAUCCAUACGAAAAUAAGAAAUAGAUUAAAGUACAUGAGACUACAAAAACUUGUUUUCGUACAUUACAACAUGAGGUUAAAGUUAAGACGUACAAUGAGAAGAAGCCAACGAGAAAUUGAAGAGGGUUUCAAUCCUAUCAAUUUGGACUACAUUUUCAAAGAAGAUGAUCCUUUAAGUCAAUGGUUAGAGGAGAGAGAGACACCACUACUCGACGGUCAGGACAAUUCAAAUUGGUUAAAUGAAGAGGUUGGUGGUACUACAGAAAAAGGUGAUCAACCACCAAUAAAUGCGCAUGAUUAUUCAAGUUCAAGCCUUGAACGUACAUUAAGUGAUGACAAUCUUGGUUUGAGCCUACCAAGUGAUGAUGAUGGUAAUAGUGGUGCUGGAGCUGGGGUUGGGGGGGUGGCAGUGGUGGUGGUGGAGGCGGCGGUAUAGAAUAUAAUUAUGGAUAUGAUAUAGGGACAUCAUUUGGAAGGGAUAUAUAUCCUUCUGAUCCUUAUGGACUACAUGACAUACCUGAAAAUUAUGACUUGGGUAUUCCUCCAGGGAACCAAUCUUCACAACCCAGGAGAAGGAGUCCUCGUGGUGACCCUAGCGAUUCUACUGAAGAUUCAUAUGGUGUGGUUCGUAGUUUUGGCGACUUUGGUUUAGAUGGUUCAUCAUCACAAUCAUAUGAAUCUCAUCCAGCAUAUCCACAUUAUGCAUCUCGUGACUCACAUUUUUAUCCCUGUGGAUCAGGAAUCUCAGGAUCUAGUGAGUCUUCUUCUACACACUACCCAGAGCCAGCCCCUGCCCCAACUUAUAGACAUUAUUCAGGAGAAUUUUCAUCACCAGUACAUUUUCAAGAGCAACAACAAAAUGACACAAACUUGGGUUCAUUCAACUAUGUAUUUCCACAAGGAUGGGGAGAUAAUUUCCUAUCCCAAUCUCAAGAUACAGAUGCAAAUUAUGAAGACCCUCCACGUCAUUCUUUUUGAUGGUGACAUGUGUUAUGUUAUAAAUUUGUAAUAUUGUAUUCAUGUAUUUUCAACUAUUUAUUGAUAUUUGAUAUUAAUCACUUUUUAAAUUCAUGUAUGUGUAAUGUGUAUAUUGAGUAUUAAGUCUAUUGAGUAUUGAUUCAUUUUUAGUAACUUUAUGACUUUAAUUAAUUGAUUCUUAUAUUUCUACAUAUUUUUUACUCAUUAAAGUAAUGUAAACUAUAAAAAAAUAUGCUUUUUUUUGUAAACAGCGCACUAAAAUUAAUAUAAAAAUCAUAAUGCCUAUUAAAAAGCAUUUGUAGGUUGAAUGAAAGCCUUCAAAAUUCAUUAAAAAUCAUGUAUUAAUGGAUUUCAUGCUUAUUUUUUAUUUUGGCAUGGUUGUGCAUGCGCGAAAAAAAUUCACGACCGUUACGCUCGCUUCCUGUUACGUAACACCCGCGUCUCCCGCGACUCGCGACACCCGCGACCGUUGCGCGACGUUACCCGCGACCGCGAUUUCGAACCAUGGCUGCGACACAAGGGGGAGGUUCAAUGGUGGUUGCAAGUCCUACUAGGGAUUCCUUGCAAGUCUCAGUUCACUUCUUCAAAAUUCUCUUGAUGAUUUCCUGAUGUAUGAUAUGGAUUUCUUUUUUCAUUCUUGGAGAAUGUUAUAAUAGCGUGGAGAAAAAGCCACAAUAUUUUUCAAUUUAGAACUAUAUCAAAUGGUAAUUGUUUUUAUAGAAGCAAUGUAUUUAGAAACUUUAAU